GUUUUUUUUCUUUUUUGGUUUGGUGGGUUUUUUGUGGAUUGCACCUGUCUUAACUUCUGAAGUUGCUAUCUACGUGUUCUUUUCCUUCUUAUUCUCCUUUUCCAUAUCAUCUUAUCCCACCGACUCCCAUUGACUUCCUUGGCACUACGUGUUACUUCUAUCCAUUCUUCUCCUUCUAUGUGUUUCUCUCUGUCGUUCUGCCUUUCUUUUGUCCAAUAAAAUACUUCCAUAUAUUUUCCACCGACUUCAUCUCCAUCUCUAAAAUGUACAGUUUGAAGCUUCAUCCCUAAAGGACCAAAAAACGAACGGUUGCUCUUCUCCCGUUUGAAGAGCAAUCAACAAACUGCAAUCAGCCAAAAUCGCACUCCACUUCUUCUUUGCGUCAACCACCAACUUCUCUCUCUUCUUUUCCUUUUGUUCCCGUGUCAAUUCUUGCGUUCCUUCUCCACCGCCACUUUCUCAAUUCAUCUUCCCCAGAUCCACACCACUUCACUUCGCUAUCGUCUCAAAAUUGCUCCAUUCUCUCAUCUCCUUCAACCUCUCAGUCGCAUAUUCUUUCCGACCCACCCAUUAAAACCCACCCCCGUAAGGUCCCGUUUAUGUUGAUGCUUGACACUGCCUCUCCAAAACCAUCUACGCUCUUCCAAACGAUUUCUCACUCGGUUAUUGUGAGAAUGACCCGAUUUCUAAAUGGCAGCAGCGAACCAGAAGGGAAAAGGAGGUGGUGAGGUUGGGAUAAAACCGAACAGCACAGGGAACCAACAUAACUGUCAGUGUGCGAUUGAGGUUCCUGAUUUUCAUUGCUAUGGGAUUUAUUGAAGACGAACCUGGUAGAUCGGUGAGAAGUAUUAUGUGAGUCAAGAAAUCGACCGGACUACAAAAAAAAGCAGCAUAAACACCAAUAUAGAUAAAUGAGAUUGACCACUGUGUGUAUUUCUACCAUUGUAUCUCUGUUUCAUCUUCUUUUUUUGGUUUUAGAUAUAUGUGCCAAUAAAUCCUUAUGUAGCAGAACCGUUGCCUCCAGCUAUUGUUGUUACAGAGACUGAUUAUUAUUUGAGAAGAUUAUGGAGUGCACCCUCAGAGGUGUAUAAUAUAUUUAUUAAUUAUUAUAUCUUUUACUUUGGCUAUUAAGUUUUGUUUAUUAUUAGAAGGUGUUAAAAAUUUCAGUAUUUAAAGAAGAAGCCCCAAUGACGGAUUAACUUGGGAAUUAACUAAAAGAAGAGGCGAUAAACAGGUUCACAAGUACAUUGCCUUUUUUAUAUAUUUUAUAUCUUUGAUUGCGAAUAUGGUCUAAUAGCAAAAGAUCUAUGUUUGGGUAAUGAGCAACCCAUUUUACAAAGUAAACAUAUUAUUUGGUGUGAUUUGUUUUAUGCAGGAAUAUAUGUACAUGGUGUGUAGCAGACUACUUCAAAGACAGAAAGGUUUAUCCAUACUCUAUACACUGAUUAUUAUGUAAUUUUUGAAAAAAGCUUUCUAAAGCCCUUAUGAUUUACUUGAAAGUGUUUAUUAUGUUUAGAGAAUAAGAAUUGUAUUAUUAUUGAAUGUGGAUUUGUUACUUUUUAUGGAACAAAGAAGGAGAAUGCACCAAGAAUUAUAACAGAUCUGAAGGGAAAAUACUUAGAGUUAUCGGUUUCAAGGGUUAAAUGGUCAUAGUUAUUAUGCACCCAUUUUUAGCAAAAAUAUAAAUAUUUCAUGAUUGGUUUCCAUUUCCUACAUUGAUUGUUAAAACGUGGAUGCUAAGAUGUGAGAAGAUUUAACUGUCUUUUUCCUGAAGAGCACAAACCAUUUUUGUAACAGUUUGGCAAAAGAGGGACUACACGAACCAUUUAUGUUGAUGCAAAUUGUACCAAAAUAACAUUAUACUUUAAAUUAUAAGGUCUGAAUAAUUGUUAUGUACUUUAAAUAAAGUUAUUUAAUUCAUCAUUAAUAUGCAUACUAAUAUAAACAUAUUGUCAUUUCCUCAUAUUACUACAAUGUAAAAUUAUAAUAUUUCCUGCUAACAAAAUUUUCUUACUCAAACGAUUAU